GCUCGCGCACGCCAGUCCGUGCACUUUCCCCUUCCGCCCGGAGCCGUUCGGUUUUGUUCCUGGGGAGGCAAGGGCCAAGAUGGCGUCGAGGUGCGUGCGCUUCCUCGGCGGUUGGAGCCGAGCGCGGGCCGCAGUGUCUUCGUUGUUAUAUACGGCAAGAUAUCAGAGUUCUCAAAGCAGUGUGCUUCAACCAAGAAAAGAAGCAGUAACAUCAUUGUCAAAACCACCUUGGCCUGAAGUCAAGUUGCCAGAUCCUGCAGAAGAGGCAAAACAUCACCUUGAGGUUGUACAAAAUGUAAAGACUCUGAUUUCCACGGGAGCAUAUGGCAGACUGUUUGCAGUUGUCCACUUUGCUAGUCGGCAAUGGAAAGUAACCAAUGAGGACUUGAUCUUGAUAGAAAAUCAUAUUGAAGCAGACUGUGGGGAUAGAAUCAGAUUAGAGAAGGUUCUUUUGGUUGGUGGGAAUGACUUCACACUAAUCGGUCGACCACUUCUUGGGCGGGACCUUGUACGAGUGGAAGCAACUGUCAUUGAGAAGACAGAAUCUUGGCCUAAAAUACACUUCAGAUUCAAACGGAGAAAGCGUUACCGUAGAACAAGGAUAAAGGUGCAACCUCAGACUGUUCUCAGGAUCAACACAAUAGAGAUUGCUCCAGCUCUGGCCUGACAGGGCAAACAAUCUUGCGCUCGGUCUCGGUCAAGUCAAAAGGUGAAAGUGAAAGAAUGGCAUUCUGUGGAGGAUAGGCUAUACUCAGCCAGUCCACAAUUGCAAAACCCAAAACAAAAGACCUGAAGUUAAAUGUGAUUACUGAACGAUCGUAAUUGUGUGCUAACAGCUAUAUGAACAACCAAUUUAAGAUCAUCAGUCAAGCUCAUGCUGUAGUUAAUUCAUAUUUGCUGGAAGCAAUAUACAUUCGUAAGCAGGGAGCCAUUUUCUGCGAGCAAUGAGAAAAUUUUCAACUCUUGUGCCAUUUUUGAAUUACCUAGGAACUUGGGGAACCCAUCACUUUCUCCAUUGCAACACUUUGCUCAGUCAACUUACACUCUGAUCGGCACUGAUUAGUAUAGAGCUGCAUGUAUUGUGAAUGUCACCACUAGGUGCCACUGCACCAGAGCAUACUCAAACACAGCUUGGCACUGGAACAUCAGCUACCUGGAAGAGUCUGACUCCUGAGUUGCUUGCUGAAAUCAACAGACUUUUCACCUCCUGCUUUGAUGAUUCUUAAAAACAUUUCAAUAAAAAUUCAAAACUUUCUAAGAACUACUUUCAAAGUCAUUUUGUGCAAAGAAAUAUUUCCCUGAUUUUACAGAAACACUUUACAAUGUUCCAUUUGCUUUAAAUAUUGACUGAAAAGGAUUCAACGUCGUCCUAUGGUCUGCUCAUACAAGAGUCAUCUGUGGUCAGAUUGAUGGAUAGUUGUUUGGUUUAAAAAAGUGUUGGUCUGUCUAUCCCCUUGAUCAAAAUCAAUGAGCAAUCUGAUCUCAAAGGGGAAAAACUCUGUAAAGCUUGGAAAUCAUUGUAAAAUUAAAACAGAAUUUAACAGACUCCAUGGUAAAUACAUGCGCAAACGCAUCUUGGCAAAGAAGGCUGUGUUAUGGUGAAGUGACCUCACUAAUUCUGUACAUAUGCGCCUAUGGCCAUUUUGCCAUUCAGAAUAAUUACGCUGAUGGUAUGAAUUGAUCAUUUGAAAUUUUACAUUCUUGGAUUUGAUCUGAUAAAUACAAACUGAAAAGCAUCGACAAUCUGUUUCUUUCUCAGCAAUAUUUAAUAUUCACUCUGAUAGACCAGUUUGUCUUUAAAUUGCAGCCACUGUGUCAAACCUGGAUUGCUUUCAUUCUGAAAUGACAGUUUUUCACGAGGAUAAUUGAACAUUUGAUAACAAUAUUGAGACACCUGCAGGAAAAUGUAAACUUUUUUUAAAAAAAGCUGAUUCAAUUGCUGCUGAAACUGUUAAUUUUUAUCCCCUAUUUAAAUUAUCAUUGGUAUAUAUAUUUUUAAUAUGUAGUUUUAAAAAGGUCCAGGUUUUUAGAGCUACAUGGGAUGGAACACAAACUUUGUCUAUAAAUUCAAUUUCAACAAUGUUAGAACAGCACACCCAUUACAUGGACAAGGUAGUUGACAGUGAUUGUUGGAGGGGCUCAUAUGGCAGUUUUCCCUAAAACUACAUUGUGUGCAAAGUUCUGGAGUCUCCAAAGACUUCGUGAGAUUAAUAAAUAUUUCACAUUUUGUUCAUUUUAUACAGUUUCAGUCACUAGAAUAAUUGUUUUUUAAAGAUAUAUUCUACUUGGCUGCAUACUUGAACCUAUUAAUAAACUAUAGGCAUCAUUAAUGUAUGCUGCUUGUACAUUAUUGUACUGUAAAAUAGCAGUGAAUGAUGUACACAUGCUUUGUUUGGAAUCAAUGGACACAUUGUUGAGCAGGUUAAUGUUUCUGUUAACUCAUCUCUUGCUAUAGGAUUGCUUGGCAUGAUGAAAUAAUAUGUAUAUUGAAAAUGUAUCUGUCCUAUACAACAGAAACUGGUCCAUUCGUUGCCAAAUACUACUUCAUAUGUCAACCACAGGAAUAUUAUUGUCAAUUCCGUUACCUCAUUGCAAUGUAUAGUCAUGUUAAUUCUGAAGUAACACUGUUCAGAACUUGUUAUCAGUUUUUUGCCACAGUGUGCUGCAUUAAGUAGAAAUUGGUAUAACAAUAGGACACAUCAGCACAACACGUAUCAAAAACAAGAAUGGUUCUAAAGGCAAACAUGGUAAAACACUAAGGGCAAGUUCCUAUAGCUAAGGAAUGUCGAAUGAGGCUGCCAAGUUGUUUAAGUUAUCCAUUUUCUCUAGUGACCAUGGCGAGUGGACCUUCCUUCAUUUUCAUUUGCAGCAACCUUUUUUCUUGCUACAGUCAUCGUCUAAAUGCAAAGCAUCUUCUCUCUGUUUGUCUUCCUGUUCGCUCAGCAAUCUGUAAAUAGUUUUUGUUUUAAAAUGAGAAUAAAGCACUCGAUCACCAUU